UCCAUUGUGAAGUGGAAUCUGAAGGAAGGUGGAGGCAAAUCUCUGGUCUGACGAACAGAAAUCACAUCAGGCUACAGUUAAGGAUUAUUUC
rfam:Blautia sp. YL58, complete genome.